rnacentral:rRNA from 1 species
UACAGAGGGUGCGAGCGUUGUCCGGAAUUACUGGGCGUAAAGGGCGCGUAGGCGGCUUGGUAAGUCGGGGGUGAAAGUCAAGCGGCUCAACCGCCUGGACUGCCUUCGAGACUGCCUGGCUUGAGCAUGGUAGAGGCUGGCGGAAUUCCCGGUGUAGCGGUGGAAUGCGUAGAGAUCGGGAAGAACACCGGUGGCGAAGGCGGUCUGCUGGGCAGUUGCUGGACACUGAGGCGCGACA